AACAGCUGAUAGCGUGGACGGCCUUUUAAGGAAGGUGGCUUGCGAUGAGUAAGAUUUCUCGGGAUUGGAUCAUUUAUGAUCCAGUCUCGAGAAAUCUUUCUCAUUACAAGCUAUAUAUCUUCUUUAAAGGCCGUCCAUACUAUCAGCUGUUAUGCCCAAAAAAAUGAAUAUUUUUAUUAUACAUGAAAAUUUUUCUAAACAUUCCUUAAAACUUACUUUGUAAUGCAUUAAAAUUCUUUAAAUUGAAAGACUCAAUAAAUCUCUGAAAAAAAUUGCAAAAA